AAACCUCGUCAGGCUGUGACAGCCUCUACCCUUUAAUGGCUGUGCUGGGUCUUCACUAUCCCCUUUCCUCUCGAGAUGCUGGAUCAGAGAGGCUCCCGGGGGCUCAGCAUCCGCCGCCCUGGUCCAUCCGCGCGUGAUGCUGCACCCUCUGAGCCUCCACCCACACCCGGACACAGAGACACCCGCGCCUUUGGAGGUCGCUAGCUGUAGUCCUAAUCACUUCGAGUAGUAAACUGGGGCCUCAAGAAUCCCGGAGCCGGAGGCCGGGCGCGGAGGCGACGCGCGCUCUGGUGCCCGGGGCGCGCGACGUCCCGGACCCUGCGCAUCCCCGCCUGCAGCUCGGGGCACGAGGGAGUACCGCCGCCCUGCCCAGGUCCCUCUCUUCUCCGACCCUGUCCCGGGAUAUCGCCCGGUGAGGAUCCUCAGGAAGAGCUGCAGCCACCAGUAUCGACCGGUAUCCGCCAGUAUCCGCCGGCUCAAAGAUGCUCCAACCCUGCGGCAGUCCCUGGCCUUAGCACAGCCCCAGGAUACUCACCGCACGCAGUCCGCAGGACAACGGUCUCACUCGGCUCCGGGUCUCGACCCGUGAACUUCCAGGAGGAGAAGUAUUGAACCAGACCUUCAUAUGAGUCUCGGCCAAAAAACAAAAACAACAACAACAACAAAGCCCCAGCAGUUUGUAGAGCGAAGAUGAGGGAUUUCAAUGCUCAUGGCCACAGUGGACUGAAAAUCCUUCCUUUUUGUCCCAGCGUUGGUACCUCCUCUUUCCAUCUUUCUGAAGUACCUGUUAUCUACGCUCAUAGGCUGGCAACAUAAUGUUUUGCUCUCCAAGAGUUCUUCGGUAUUUUGUUAAAUAAACGAAACAAGCGCUCUUU